rnacentral:rRNA from 1 species
GGUCAAGAUAGAAAGGGCUAAGGGCGAAUGCCUUGGCACUGGGAGCCGAAGAAGGACGUGGCAAACUACGAAAUGCUGCGGGGAGGCGUAAGCAGCCGAUAAUCCGCAGAUAUCCGAAUGAGGAAACUCACAUAAGGUAAACCUUAUGUAUCAUACAGUGAAUAAAUAGCUGUAUGAGGGGAACGAGGGGAACUGAAACAUCUAAGUACCCUUAGGAAGAGAAAAUAAAAAAUGAUUCCGUAAGUAGCGGCGAGCGAAAGCGGAAGAGCCCAAACCAAGUAGAAAUACUUGGGGUUGAGGACAUAUCAAAGAGACAGAAAACUGUAGCCGAAGAGAGCUGGAAAGCUCCUCCAAAGAAUGUGAUAGACACGUAAGCAAAACAGUUUGAAGCGAGGAUAUGAUCCAGAGUACCACGGGACACGAGGAAUCUUGUGGGAAGCAGGGAGGACCACCUCCCAAGGCUAAAUACUACCCAGUGACCGAUAGAGAACAGUACCGUGAGGGAAAGGUGAAAAGAACCCCGGGAGGGGAGUGAAAAAGAACCUGAAACCCUGAGCCUAAAAACAGUGGAAGCACAAAAGUGUGACCGCGUACUUUUUGUAGAACGGGCCAACGAGUUACAAUAUGCAGCAAGGUUAAUAACCAAAGGUUAGGAGCCGAAGAGAAAUCGAGUCUGAAAAGGGCGAAAGUUGUAUGUUGUAGACCCGAAACCGGGUGACCUAUCCAUGUGCAGGUUGAAGCUAGAGUAAAAUCUGGUGGAGGACCGAACCCAUUAGCGUUUAAAAGCUACGGGAUGACGUGUGGAUAGCGGUGAAAUUCCAAUCGAACCCGGAGAUAGCUGGUUCUCCUCGAAAUAGCUUUAGGGCUAGCCUCAAGUAAGUAUAGUGGGGGUAGAGCACUGAAUGGUCUAGGGGCGUUAUACGUUACCAAAACCUAUCAAACUCCGAAUACCAUAUAUAUGUUGCUAGGGAGUCAGACUAUGUGAGAUAAGUUUCAUAGUCAAAAGGGAAACAGCCCAGAUCACCAACUAAGGUCCCAAAAUAUAGAUUAAGUGGAAAAGGAUGUAAAACUACACAGACAACCAGGAUGUUGGCUUAGAAGCAGCCAUUCAUUAAAAGAGUGCGUAAUAGCUCACUGGUCGAGUGGUUUUGCGCCGAAGAUGUCCGGGGCUAAAAUCUAUUACCGAAGUUGUGGGAUGUCGUAAAGCUCUUCAUCUGUUCAAUGAAACGAUAACUGAGGACAUCUCAGUUCAAAAUCCUUCAUUAAUUAAAAUAGAUAAAAAGGAAGGAUUUUUGAAAAGCUCUAACGGGGCUAAAAUCAAAAUUGAGCGAAUGAAGAGAUUUACGACAUCGGUAGAGGAGCAUUGUGUAUGGAUAGAAGCACUACCGAAAGGAGUCGUGGACUGUACAGAAGAGAGAAUGUUGGCAUGAGUAGCGAAAGGUGAGUGAGAAUCUCACCCAUCGAAAGCCUAAGGAUUCCUGAGGAAGGCUCGUCCACUCAGGGUAAGUCGGGACCUAAGCCGAGGCCAAAAGGCGUAGGCGAUGGACAACUGGUUGAAAUUCCAGUACCACCUUUAAGCGUUUGAGAAAUGGGGUGACACAGGAGGGUAAGCUGGCGCACAGCUGGAAAAGUGCGUCUAAGUAAGUAGGGAGACGAUACAGGCAAAUCCGUAACGUCAAUCCUGAGAUACGAAUGGGAGCGAAAAUAAGUAGUGAAGCAGCUGAGCCCACACUGUCAAGAAAAGCCUCUAUCGAGCAAGAAGGUGCCCGUACCGUAAACCGACACAGGUAGGCAAGGAGAGAAUCCAAAGAUGAGCGGAAGAACUAUUGUUAAGGAACUAGGCAAAAUGACCCCGUAACUUCGGGAGAAGGGGUGCCCUUCAGAGUGAAGACAGAACUGUUGGAGCUUAGAAGGGCCACAGAAAACAGGCCCAAGCGACUGUUUACCAAAAACACAGGUAUCUGCUAAAUCGAAAGAUGAAGUAUAGGUGCUGACACCUGCCCGGUGCUGGAAGGUUAAGGGGAGAAGUCAUCGAAAGAGAAGCUUUGAACUUAAGCCCCAGUAAACGGCGGCCGUAACUAUAACGGUCCUAAGGUAGCGAAAUUCCUUGUCGGGUAAGUUCCGACCCGCACGAAAGGUGUAACGAUUUGGGCACUGUCUCAACAAUAGAUCCGGUGAAAUUGUAGUACUCGUGAAGAUGCGAGUUACCCGCGGCAGGACGGAAAGACCCCAUGGAGCUUUACUGCAGGCUGACAUUGGAAUUCGGUAGCAAUUGUACAGAAUAGGUGGGAGGCAGAGAAAUCGGUACGCCAGUAUCGGUGGAGCCAACGUUGGGAUACCACUCUAUUGUUACUGAAUUUCUAACAUGAUACCGUGAACCGGUAUAUGGACACUGUCAGUUGGGCAGUUUGACUGGGGCGGUCGCCUCCGAAAGAGUAACGGAGGCGCUCAAAGGUUCCCUCAGCACGGUCGGAAAUCGUGCGAAGAGUGUAAAGGCAGAAGGGAGCUUGACUGCGAGAGAGACAUCUCGAGCAGGAACGAAAGUUGGACUUAGUGAUCCGGUGGCACCGAGUGGAAAGGCCAUCGCUUAACGGAUAAAAGCUACCCUGGGGAUAACAGGCUUAUCUCCCCCAAGAGUCCACAUCGACGGGGAGGUUUGGCACCUCGAUGUCGGCUCGUCUCAUCCUGGGGCUGAAGCAGGUCCCAAGGGUUGGGCUGUUCGCCCAUUAAAGAGGCACGCGAGCUGGGUUCAGAACGUCGUGAGACAGUUCGGUCCCUAUCCGCCGUGGGCGCAGGAAAUUUGAAGGGAGCUGUUCCUAGUACGAGAGGACCGGAAUGGACAGACCGCCGGUGCAUCAGUUGUCACGCCAGUGGCAUAGCUGAGUAGCUGAGUCUGGAUUAGAUAAGCGCUGAAAGCAUCUAAGCGCGAAACUAGCCCUAAGAUAAGAUUUCCCAUCACGCAAGUGAGUAAGACCCCCGAUAUGUUAACGGGUUGAUAGGUUGCAUGUGUAAGUGCAGCAAUGCAUUCAGCUGAGCAAUACUAAUAGGUCGAGGUCUUGACCUC